UACGUAGGGGGCAAGCGUUGUCCGGAAUCAUUGGGCGUAAAGCGCGCGUAGGCGGCCCUGUAAGUCCGUUGUGAAAGUCGAAGGCUCAACCUUCGAAAGCCGAUGGAUACUGCAGGGGUAGAGUCCGGAAGAGGCGAGUGGAAUUCCUGGUGUAGCGGUGGAAUGCGCAGAUAUCAGGAGGAACACCAAUAGCGAAGGCAGCUCGCUGGGACGGUACUGACGCUAAGGCGCGAAAGCGUGGGGAGCGAACAGA
rnacentral:rRNA from 1 species